UAUCUCUGUUUUAAAAUGUCUCAUGCCU
rnacentral:sRNA from 1 species